CCAGGGUCCACUGAUAUCCAUUUGGCUCCUUCUCUAGACUCUUCUCCUGAAGACUGUCUCCCAGGCCCCUCGCUGCUACAUGUGGUCAUCUGGCUAAAUCCUGACCCAUGGGACAGGGAAAGAAGAGAUGGAGGCCACUUUGGGGUCAUGCCUUUAGUGGAUGGGAGAUGGCGUUCAUGGGUGCCUGGGCCUUCCUCCUUGUGUCCCCGUCCUCCGGAUAUUUCCUGAGGAUCCGGCCCUGCGAGUGCACCGCUCACUGUCCUCUGGCCCUGGCCCUGUCGGGUACUGUCUUGAUUUAAAAUCUUGACGUUUUGUGCGUCGUGGGUUUUUGGCAUCUGGGCUGAUUUUUUUUUUUAACAUACUGCAUUAAAAUGCUUUUCAUCUUGGCAGCUAUUUCUCUGUGUUACUAUGGGUUCCUGGCUUUCCCCUUAUAUUUUGUCCAUUCACCCCCACCCUGCAUCUUAUUUACCGAGUUCGCGUCUGUGACUGGUUGUUCUGGCCACUGAAGCGGACUCUUAACAUCUUGUAAUACUGUGAUUGCGCAGUAGACUGCACAGCCAUUCCCAGCCCCUUCUCCGUUUUCCUCUGAGCCAGAGAGGGUGGAAAAGCAAAAUCCUCUCUUUCCCGGACUUCUCUACAGUGGCGAGUGGCCGUGUGACUAUUCUGACCAAUACAACAUAAGGGCAAGUCAGCUUCUGGAAACAUCUGCUUUAAAGGACAAGCAGGAAAAAAAAAAUAAAGGACAAGCAGGAAAGGAGAGAUCUCUGAGGUUUCCCCUUCCCCUGUCUUCCUGCCUGGUAUGGGGAGGAAGGGAGCAAUGGCAGCUAUUUUGCAAUCAUGAAGCGACAGUAAAAGGUACAUGCAGCCAGCAGCUUGGGACAUUAAUAUCCUGGGCUCUUGAUGGUGACGGUGAGUAGCUGAAUCAAAGCUACUCCAUUUACACAUAGAUUUCCUGUGCAGUGAUGAAAAAUAAGCCCUUAGGUGGUUGUUGUUUUUUUUUAAGAUGUAUCUAUUUUAUAGAGAGUGAGCACAUGCACAAAUGUUGGGAUGGGGGGAGCGGGGUGAAAGGGAUAGAAAGAAUCCUUAAGCAGACUUCCCACUAAGCACAGAGCCUGACCCAGGCUUGAUCCCAAGACCCUGAGAUCAUGACCUGAGCUGAACUCAAGAGUUAGAUGUAACUGACUGAGCCACUCAGGUGCCCCCAAGCCCCCUCCGCUCUUUUUAAAGAUUUUAUUUUUCAGUAAUCCCUAUGCUUGACAUGGGGCUUGAACUCAUAACCCCAAGAUCAAGAGUGGCAUGCUCUACCGACUGAGCCAGCUGGGUGCCCCAAGCCCCUAUUUUACAACCCACUUUGGUUAGAUUUUCUUUUAGAUACAGUCAAAUGCUAACUGCCAUAACCUUCGAGUGAUAUUGCUGGGCUGGCUAGAAGUUAACAGUUUAUGAUGGGCCUAGGUUAUCUAGUUAAGUAAUUAGCCCCAAAUUUCUCAAGACGAAAACCUUGAACUCAUUCAUGAUGCUCACAUAUUGUUGGUAGCAAUGCGUCAGUACAGCUCUGUUGGACAACAACGUGGCUGUAUGGGUCAAAAAUUUAAAACACAGAUCCUUUCC
rnacentral:lncRNA from 1 species